AAUAGAUACCCUGGUAGUCCACGCCGUAAAACGAUGAGUGCUAAGUGUUAGAGGGUUUCCGCCCUUUAGUGCUGCAGCUAACGCAUUAAGCACUCCGCCUGGGGAGUACGGUCGCAAGACUGAAACUCAAAGGAAUUGACGGGGGGCCCGCACAAGCGGUGGAGCAUGUGGUUUAAUUCGAAGCAACGCGAAGAACCUUACCAGGUCUUGACAUCCUCUGACAACUCUAGAGAUAGAGCGUUCCCCUUCGGGGGACAGAGUGACAGGUGGUGCAUGGUUGUCGUCAGCUCGUGUCGUGAGAUGUUGGGUUAAGUCCCGCAACGAGCGCAACCCUUGAUCUUAGUUGCCAGCAUUCAGUUGGGCACUCUAAGGUGACUGCCGGUGACAAACCGGAGGAAGGUGGGGAUGACGUCAAAUCAUCAUGCCCCUUAUGACCUGGGCUACACACGUGCUACAAUGGAUGGUACAAAGGGCUGCAAGUACCGCGAGGUCAAGCCAAUCCCAUAAAACCAUUCUCAGUUCGGAUUGGUA
rnacentral:rRNA from 1 species